UAUGUAUUCGGGAUCACGCCAUCC
rnacentral:siRNA from 1 species